rnacentral:rRNA from 1 species
UACGUAGGGGGCAAGCGUUGUCCGGAUUUAUUGGGCGUAAAGAGCGUGUAGGCGGCCAGGUAGGUCUGCUGUGAAAACUCGAGGCUUAACCUCGAGCUGUCGGCGGAAACCAUCUGGCUAGAGUCCGGAAGAGGAAAGUGGAGUUCCUGGUGUAGCGGUGAAAUGCGCAGAUAUCAGGAAGAACACCAAUGGCGAAAGCAGCUUUCUGGGACGGUACUGACGCUGAGACGCGAAAGCGUGGGGAGCGAACAGG